CCGGCAGCGGUGGAAUGAAGGCCGUGCGGUGAGGGCAGGCUUUCCAAGAAGGAAAGAGGGAAAAACAUUUGUUUGGAUUCUGAUGACUGAUAUAUGUGGAUGAAUGAGAGCUUAAGAAAGUUAUAUCCACAUGACCAACAAUGAAAAAGGCCUUUUUGAAUUCACUUUUCAAGUGUCAGUCUCUGUUUGAUAAGACACCUGGAUAAUUCAUCUGAUUGUUCUGUCAGAAAGCACAGAGGUCUCUUGUGCUCAGCCUUCCCUGCCUACAGGAGGACCCCCAGCAUGCUUGACAGUCGGGAUAAUAUUUGUGUGGAAUAGGCUGUGUUGGUUUGGCAAAUAUUUCUUUUGGAUUUUCUGCCAUGAUU
ensembl:lncRNA